rnacentral:tRNA from 1 species
UAAAAAGAAGCGAUUAUAUCGCACUCAGUUUCGACCUGAAUCUAGGAUUAAUACCCCUUUUUUUAA